rnacentral:rRNA from 3 species
UGGACCUCAGAUCAGGCAAGAUUACCCGCUGAGUUUAAGCAUAUCACUAAGCGGAGGAAAAGAAACUAACUAGGAUUUCCCU